UCCCCUCUGCACACGGCCUGUUUCACCUCAGCGCGAAUAUGUCGCUCCCGUAAGCGAACUCUGAUUCUUAGCGUGAUGUGUGCUACUUAUGCUUUUGGAUUUAACAGCUGCCUUUGACACGAUGGGACAGACCAUGAGAUCCUCAUCUCCAGGCUGGAGCAGUGGGUGGGAAUCACAGGUUCGGUUCUCCAAUGGUUUAGGUCAGAUCUCUCAGAAAGAAGUUUUUGCGUCAGCAUUGAUGAUUUUACUUCCACCUCUGUUGCCCUCCCCUGUGGGGUACCACAAGGCUCCAUCCUCGGACCUCUUCUGCUGCCACUCGGCGCUAUUUUUCGGAAACAAGAAAGAAAGAUGCACCGCCGCCAUGAAUCUGCCUGACUCACUAACCACGCAUCGCCACUUCCGCCCUUCCUCUGUCAACUCCUGGUGACGUCAGCAAUCCCACCAUCCAUCUCGGCUCCUUCCCAGCAUACCUCUCUCUCUACUUCCGGUCCCUCUUCAUAAAUAUUCCCCACUCCGCUAUUUUUGUUGUCAUCUGUAUGGUGCAAUGGUGUACUGACUUUGACAAUUUUUUUCAUAUUGCAAUUAUUUUUCUACAGUAUAUGGGGCCAGAAACCCAAACCUU